rnacentral:piRNA from 1 species
UCACUCGUGCACAGGAUCACUCUCGGAAC